rnacentral:rRNA from 1 species
GAUGAACGCUGGCGGCGUGCCUAAUACAUGCAAGUCGAGCGAAUGGAUUAAGAGCUUGCUCUUAUGAAGUUAGCGGCGGACGGGUGAGUAACACGUGGGUAACCUGCCCAUAAGACUGGGAUAACUCCGGGAAACCGGGGCUAAUACCGGAUAACAUUUUGAACCGCAUGGUCCGAAAUUGAAAGGCGGCUUCGGCUGUCACUUAUGGAUGGACCCGCGUCGCAUUAGCUAGUUGGUGAGGUAACGGCUCACCAAGGCAACGAUGCGUAGCCGACCCGAGAGGGUGAUCGGCCACACUGGGACUGAGACACGGUCCAGACUCCUACGGGAGGCAGCAGUAGGGAAUCUUCCGCAAUGGACGAAAGUCUGACGGAGCAACGCCGCGUGAGUGAUGAAGGCUUUCGGGUCGUAAAACUCUGUUGUUAGGGAAGAACAAGUGCUAGUUGAAUAAGCUGGCACCUUGACGGUACCUAACCAGAAAGCCACGGCUAACUACGUGCCAGCCGCCGCAGUAA